AUUGAACGCUGGCGGCAGGCCUAACACAUGCAAGUCGAGCGGAUGCAGGGAGCUUGCUCCUGGAUUCAGCGGCGAACGGGUGAGUAAUGCCUAGGAAUCUGCCUGGUAGUGGGGGAUAACGUCCGGAAACGGGCGCUAAUACCGCAUACGUCCUGAGGGAGAAAGUGGGGGAUCUUCGGACCUCACGCUAUCAGAUGAGCCUAGGUCGGAUUAGCUAGUUGGUGGGGUAAAGGCCUACCAAGGCGACGAUCCGUAACUGGUCUGAGAGGAUGAUCAGUCACACUGGAACUGAGACACGGUCCAGACUCCUACGGGAGGCAGCAGUGGGGAAUAUUGGACAAUGGGCGCAAGCCUGAUCCAGCCAUGCCGCGUGUGUGAAGAAGGUCUUCGGAUUGUAAAGCACUUUCAGUUGGGAGGAAGGGCAGUAAGUUAAUACCUUGCUGUUUUGACGUUACCAACAGAAUAAGCACCGGCUAACUUCGUG
rnacentral:rRNA from 1 species